UGCAGUCGAACGGAAAGGCCCUUCGGGGUACUCGAGUGGCGAACGGGUGAGUAACACGUGGGUGAUCUGCCCUGCACUCUGGGAUAAGCCUGGGAAACUGGGUCUAAUACCGGAUAGGACCACACACUUCAUGGUGAGUGGUGCAAAGCUUUUGCGGUGUGGGAUGAGCCCGCGGCCUAUCAGCUUGUUGGUGGGGUAAUGGCCCACCAAGGCGACGACGGGUAGCCGGCCUGAGAGGGUGACCGGCCACACUGGGACUGAGAUACGGCCCAGACUCCUACGGGAGGCAGCAGUGGGGAAUAUUGCACAAUGGGCGCAAGCCUGAUGCAGCGACGCCGCGUGAGGGAUGACGGCCUUCGGGUUGUAAACCUCUUUCAGUAGGGACGAAGCGAAAGUGACGGUACCUACAGAAGAAGGACCGGCCAACUACGUGCCAGCAGCCGCGGUAAUACGUAGGGUCCGAGCGUUGUCCGGAAUUACUGGGCGUAAAGAGCUCGUAGGUGGUUUGUCGCGUUGUUCGUGAAAACUCACAGCUUAACUGUGGGCGUGCGGGCGAUACGGGCAGACUAGAGUACUGCAGGGGAGACUGGAAUUCCUGGUGUAGCGGUGGAAUGCGCAGAUAUCAGGAGGAACACCGGUGGCGAAGGCGGGUCUCUGGGCAGUAACUGACGCUGAGGAGCGAAAGCGUGGGUAGCGAACAGGAUUAGAUACCCUGGUAGUCCACGCCGUAAACGGUGGGUACUAGGUGUGGGUUUCCUUCCUUGGGAUCCGUGCCGUAGCUAACGCAUUAAGUACCCCGCCUGGGGGAGUACGGUCGCAAGACUAAAACUCAAAGGAAUUGACGGGGGCCCGCACAAGCGGCGGAGCAUGUGGAUUAAUUCGAUGCAACGCGAAGAACCUUACCUGGGUUUGACAUGCACAGGACGU
rnacentral:rRNA from 1 species